rnacentral:rRNA from 1 species
UACGUAGGGGGCAAGCGUUGUCCGGAAUCAUUGGGCGUAAAGCGCGCGUAGGCGGCCAGAUAAGUCCGGUGUGAAAGUCAAAGGCUCAACCUUUGAAUGCCGCUGGAAACUGUCUGGCUAGAGUCCGGAAGGGGCGAGUGGAACUCCUGGUGUAGCGGUGAAAUGCGCAGAUAUCAGGAAGAACACCAAUGGCGAAGGCAGCUCGCUAGGACGGUACUGACGCUGAGGCGCGAAAGCGUGGGGAGCGAACAGG